GUGCCCUAGCCCAGUGGUUAGCGCAUCCCUUUGGCAUGCAGAAGGGCCCGGGUUCAAUCCCCGCCGCUCCAGGUAACG